UGUUGUGGCCAAAGCUGGAUUUCUCGCAGGCCAGCAAGUGCCACACCUCCGGAAGCCCGAGGCGAGCUGGCCAGGGGUACAACCUGGCCUCCAGGAACCCAGCGCGUCCCGCCCUUCCCGCUGCCUCGCUCCGCCCCCACUCGCCACGCCCCUCGGACUUGCGCAGUGCCGCCGGUAGGGGUGGGGCUAGCGGCUCGCUCAGGCCUGGCGGUUGGGGAGGCGGUUUAGAACACAUGCAGAAGCUCCUAAGCCGGUAUUUGAAACGGAAACUCAUCGGUCAAAAUAGAAAUACCGGUACCUGGAAACCUGGAACUUGUCUUUUCGAAGCCACCUUUCCCGUCAUCACCUCUGCCUCUCCGGGUUCCCAUAAUCGUCCUUAUGGACCGCUGGUCGUGUGGUUGCCUGCAGAACGCCUCCUGGACCCCCGACUGGUUGAACUCCCAAUACCUUCUCAGGCCUCUUAGAGGGACUGUCCAGUGCAGUACUGUGAAAAGAACCAUCACAGUGGAGACGCCCAUUGCUGCACACACAUAGGCACCUCCGGCGCGCAGUUUUUCUGGUUAACUCCAAUUACGAGGUCACGACACACAUCUCCAGCUAAUUUAUGCACAGCUCCAAUUCUGUGCAGGGAGGAUGCAAAACAGCAAACUAUCCAUGGUAGGACUUUCUGGAGCAUCAAUUCUACAAGAUUUGGAAGAAAUGAAGUCAUUUCCAAGGCAAAAGAGGAGAAACACUACUUGGGGAGCACUGUUAUGUGCCAGGACUAUGAUCAUCAAGAAGGCGGAGGCCACAGGAUUGCACCUCAACCCCGGGGACCUGCCAAAGAAGAACUGCCACCAAAUUUUCAAUUGAGGACCCUUCCAGAACUCUUCAGUGACCUCACCGAGCGGUGUGCCUCUGGAAAAAACUCAACACUCACCCUAAAUGAGAUGUCUCUUCCCCAUGCCUGGGAGGAUAGGGGAUAGAUCCUCUAGGGGUGGAUGCCUGGGCACAGAUGUGACCCAGCAGCUCUGGAGCGAGUGGGUGUGCUCAGAUGAGUUCUAGUUAAUUUGUACAUGAAUAAAAAGCACUGGGAUAGGGAAAAGGGCUCUUGAGUCCAGUAAGUGAAUUUUAUUUUAUUUUUUUAUUUUUUAAAAUUUUUUUAACGUUUAUUUAUUUUUGAGACAGAGAGAGACAGAGCAUGAACGGGGGAGGGUCAGAGAGAGAGAGGGAGACACAGAAUCUGAAACAGGCUCCAGGUUCUGAGCUGUCAGCACAGAGCCCGAUGCGGGGCUGGAACUCACGAACUGCGAGAUCAUGACCUGAGCCGACGUCGGACGCUUAACCGACUGAGCCACCCAGGCGCCCCAGUAAGUGAAUUUUAAAUAUACAGGAGUUCAUCCGCAAGACAUCAGUCUACAUUUGUUCUCUAGCUAGUAAGAUUUUGACAAGAGGCAGGAGAAGAGCGGGAAGGCCACCCUGCUGGGCACCACCGUAGACGCGUGUUUAGAUCUGGAUCAGGCUCCCACACCAGGGGGCCCACCUGUGUGCUAACCGGCCUACAAGGCACUGUCCCUCGGGCUGAACAGGGCUCCAUACAACCUCAGUGUUGCCAGCACUCUGGACAACUUCAUUUUUCUUUCAUAUUUUUGAGGUAGAAUUUGUACUCAGGACCUCUGCGUAUGCAGAGGACUUAGGGGCCCGCAAACAAGCGAAUUCACAAGAAGCUCUGAAGAUUACCGCCCAAGUGUUUGGUGUCGUCUUGUGUAUUACUGAAUUGUCCAUUAAUCAAGAGACUCGGUGUAACAACCUCAACAGGAUGUCAAAAGCAGGACUGCCGAAGCCCCAGGCCUGAGCCAAGGGAGGCCGUAGACCCAAGAUUCAAAGCACAUGCUCCGGACACCAGCUCUGCGAUUGUACAAACUGCUUAACCCCAUUCAACAUUCAUUUCCUAGUCUGAAGCAUCUCCCGUCCCUGAUAAACACAGAAGACGAGAGAAAAGAGUAGCAGGGAAGAAGUACCCCAGGACGACAGUCCAGUCUCUGAAGAUUCACCCAGGUUGGGACAGAGGACCUGCCCGAAGCCAGGACCAGCCUCUCCUCUUAUCUCCCCGGUGGCACCCAGCCAUCCUUUAAGCUCACCAUUAUUUUUUGAUUCAGUGCUUUUGAAUGCUGUGGAAGCACAGGUACUCCCUUGAUUUGAAUCCCAUGCAGGCCACCUUGGCAGUCUGCACCUGCCAUCCUUCCCUGCCCGUGGUCCUCGGUGUCCCCACAUACAAGCCGUAAGCUCCUUGCACCACUCCCGUCCCCACGGCUGUCUCUGUCAGCCCUGGCCCACCUCCCACACCUGCUGCUGGGCUCUGUGGAGCUCAGGAUCUUCUUGCUGCCCAUAUGAAAACAGUCUUUGGUUUUGUCCCUUCUUUGGCUAUCCACCAUGUGAGCUUUCAUUGGCUUCAUUGUGGUUUAAGGGCCACAUCAGUUCUUUCCAGGUGGCCUGAAACACGGUAUCUGCCUGAGUAAGAAGUUGGAGAAGCUCCCAGCAGCCCAGUCAGCCUUGGGGGGUGCCAGAGGGAGAGGCUGGGGUCCUAUCACUGGGCCACCCAGCAUGGAGGGAGUUGCCAGUUGUAGGACAAACCCUGGGGGCAGCUGGUUCCGUGUGGGGCAUCACCACUGCUGCUGAUGCUGUGGGUGGAGGGGAGGCCCCAGGGUCACACUAGGGACUGUGCUGGGGAAAGGGAUGGUCCUUGUGUCUUGGGGGACUGGCAGGCACUUUGGAUGGGCUGCUGGCCUUCCACUGACUCCUGGUGCUCCCCAGGCCGCUGACUUUCUGAGUUACAGAACACAGCAGAGGUGGGCAGGCCCACCGAAACCAGGCUCCUCCGGGUUGGCAGAGACCCUGGGCUGAAGCCUGUGGGAGCGGGAAGGACAGCAACUAUUGGCAGGAUCAGCUGAAGGCAGAGGCUUCGCAGCAAUGGUCCACCGUCCACCUUGGGGCUCUUGCAGCCUAGGAUCAGGUAGUUGGCCAUCACUUCCUCUUAAUUCUGGCCCAUCAGCAGGUCCCAGAUCUGGUCCCACUCAUAGCCCACAGAUAAUGUCACCUCAGUUCUGCCAGGGAUCCUUGUAGUCAGGGAGUGGCUCACUGUAAGGCUUUAGUAGUUCUGCUUCACGGGCCAUGGUCAUCCAUGGGUCCUUCAUGGUUUCCUCUAAAGCGCUUCUCUCACUGGGACCGAGGGGCAGGAAUCUCUCUAGUAGGUCUCCCACGCUCCACAGACGUGGAAAGGGGAACAUGGCAUAUCCUGCUCAGCACCCACUCCCACAGCUCCCUGAAGUCCUGCCAAGGCAGGGACCUGCUGGUCACUGGACAGUCAUUGUAUAGAGGAUGGCUCCAGGCUCCACCCAUCUCCUACGAGACUGUUGUACUCUUGGUGUAAGGGGACUACCACAGAAGGGGGUCAGCUUAUGGCCGGCGGUGAACUCAUUGCUGAAUCCAGAGUAUGCGACCUUGAUGUUCGGGUCAGAUUCCAAAAGCAGGCUCUCUGGCUUUAGGUCCCUGUGGAUGAUACCUUCCUGGUGGUGGUACUACACAGUGGACGCUAUCUGGCAGAAUCUGCCUCGGGGCUCCCCCUUUCUCAUGCAGGCAUGGCGCAGUUCAAACACCUGUCCUUCGCUAGUGGACUCCGUGACCGGGUCGCCUGCUUCCAUGGUGCCAGCGACCUCAAGUAGUUUCACGACUCGGGGGUUGUGAUUCAGGGCCUUCAUGCUCUGGACUUCAAGGAAUAGUCUCCGGAGGCUGGAGGAGCCCUGCUGACUCUUGUUAAUGACCGUCAUGGACGCCUCUGUCCCACUCGGGCUGUGCCAGACCAACCCCACCUGGGCAAAGCUGCCCUGGCCGACGGUCCUGAGGAGCCGGUGGUGGUUACUGUGGCUCUCCUGGUCACAGGAUGGCCACAAGGCCCCGCAGCUCAGUGACUCACUGCUAGGAAUGCUAACUAAAAGUGCCCCCUAACAGUACUAACAAACUAAAUAAAGAUGGGAAAGAAAAGAAAAAAUGAGAAAAGAGAGGGAAAAAGCAAAACUGUGGCCAAAAGUCCCUCAGGUCCCCAGACACCAGCUUCCUGGCCUAAAAAAAACAAAACAUGUAGGCCUGGCCAAGGGCUAAUACAGAGAGGUGCUUAGGAUUUUCUCUCGAUGGCUCUUCUUGAGAUCAGUGCAAGAAAUGCACCUGUAAGGCUGGGGAUAAUUCACAGUGGUUUUCCCACUUGGUUCUCAGGUACCCUUUACUCUUAAAAGCGCGGGGGAGGGAUGCCCCCAGAGGCUUUUUUGUUUACGUGUCUUACUUAUAGUGAUUGACACAUACCUUACUAGAAAUUAAAACCUGAAGGAUGCUUCAGUAGCCUUUUCAUGUCUAGUUUGGGAAUCUAAUAAUUUUUGAUGUUUAAAGAAAGCCAUGAUAUCUAUACUUAGAAUAAUUCAAUUCCUUUUUCUUUAAACUCUAGAUGAUCGGUCUCAAAAUGAUACCACAAUUUAACUGGCUUCACAAUAGCCAAUGACAAAGACUCUCCCUGACUAAACUUGAGUCGUUCUCCUCUAGGUCUGGACUUUGCAGCCUGCCCUUGUCUGGCCUGCAUCACCCAGUUGUAGCAAGAACCUUGCCAAGUCAGUUUAAAGAGAACUCCCCACCCUCAAUAUCUCAUAACAUUCUUCACACACACACCCCACCUUUGGUGUCUGUGAAAUAAUAGAAAAUAUAUAUUGGUCUCUGUCCCUGGUUCUUGGCACAGGCUCCUGAAAGCCUUCUAAUUUCCUAAGUGUUAAGACACUAGGAGUAUCUCGUUUUCUAAUAUUUGGUCUUUAACCCCAGUUCCUGAUUCAGGGCUCCUAAAUUCCUUGGAAUAUCCUGGGUGGUAGGAAUGUCUUGUUCUAAUGAGGCAACUCUGGAUGGGCUCCUGGAUGACUCCCGGAGGGGAGUCUUUCUGACUGUUAGCAAAAGGCCAAGCCAUGAUUAGAAGCUUGGAAUUUUCAGCCCCAUACCCCCUCCCCAAUCCUCCAGAAAGGGGAAAGGGGCUGGAAGUGGAGUUAAUGAUCUGUCAUGCCUACGUGAGGAAGCCUCCAUAAAAAUCCUAACGGUAUGGGGUUCAGAGAGUUUCCAUAUGGGUGAACACAUUCACACUGGGAGCGUGAUGUACCCCAACUCCAUGGGGACAGAAGUUCCUGUGCUCGGGACCCUCCCAGACCUCACUCCAUGUAUCUCUUCAUCUAACUGAUCAUGUAUCCUUUAUCACAUCCUUUAAUAAAUGUAAGUGGAAGUGACUGGGUUUUCCUUUGUAUGGCAUCUGACCACCCUGGCCUGCCCACAGCAAGAAUCCUGUUAGAUCUGUUUAACUAGAAUCCUGCCAUCCCUGAGGUUUCCUUAGUAGUUUUCCAUCUACUGACCCCAACCCUGCUCCUUGGCUAUAAACCCCCACUUUGUGCCGUACUGGGGAUGGGUCCCAGUUCUAUACUGAGGCCUCUUUUUCCCCCUAUUGCGGUAAUUCCUGAAUAAAACUUGCUUUUACUGCUUUAA